rnacentral:rRNA from 1 species
AUUGCCUUAGUAACGGCGAGUGAAGCGGCAAAAGCUCAAAUUUGAAAUCUGGCACUUUCAGUGUCCGAGUUGUAAUUUGAAGAAGGUAACUUUGGAGUUGGCCCUUGUCUAUGUUCCUUGGAACAGGACGUCACAGAGGGUGAGAAUCCCGUGCGAUGAGGUGUCCAAUUCUAUGUAAAGUGCUUUCGAAGAGUCGAGUUGUUUGGGAAUGCAGCUCUAAGUGGGUGGUAAAUUCCAUCUAAAGCUAAAUAUUGGCGAGAGACCGAUAGCGAACAAGUACAGUGAUGGAAAGAUGAAAAGAACUUUGAAAAGAGAGUGAAAAAGUACGUGAAAUUGUUGAAAGGGAAGGGCUUGAGAUCAGACUCGGUAUUUUGCAAGCCUAUCCUUCGUGGAGAGGUUUAUUAGCAGCUUACCGGGCCAGCAUCGGUUUGGAUGGUAGGAUAAUGGCAUUGGAAUGUGGCUCCUCGGAGUGUUAUAGCCUUUGUUGAUACUGCCUAUCUAGACCGAGGACUGCGUCUUUGACUAGGAUGCUGGCGUAAUGAUCUUAAGCCGCCCGUCUUG